AGUCAACGCUGGCGGCGUGCCUAACACAUGCAAGUCGAGCGAGAAAAGGGGAGCAAUCCUCUGAGUACAGCGGCGCACGGGUGAGUAACACGUGGGUAAUCUGCCCUAGAGUGGGGAAUAACACCGGGAAACCGGUGCUAAUACCGCAUACGAUCACAAGGUCGGCGGAGUUUGUGAUGAAAGGAGCAAUUCGCUCCAGGAGGAGCCCGCGGCUGAUUAGCUAGUUGGUGAGGUAACGGCUCACCAAGGCAACGAUCAGUAUCCGGUCUGAGAGGGCGGCCGGACACACUGGAACUGAGACACGGUCCAGACUCCUACGGGAGGCAGCAGUGGGGAAUUUUUGGCAAUGGGGGAAACCCUGACCAAGCAACGCCGCGUGGGUGAUGAAGUCUCUUGGGACGUAAGACCCUUUCGACGGGGAAGAAACCGCAAGGUUGACGGUACCCGUAGAAGAAGCCCCGGCUAACUCCGUGCCAGCCGCCGCAGUAA
rnacentral:rRNA from 1 species